rnacentral:rRNA from 1 species
AACGAACGCUGGCGGCAGGCUUAACACAUGCAAGUCGAGCGCACCUUCGGGUGAGCGGCGGACGGGUUAGUAACGCGUGGGAACAUACCCUUUGGUACGGAAUAGCCUCUGGAAACGGAGAGUAAUACCGUAUGAGCCCUUCGGGGGAAAGAUUUAUCGCCAAAGGAUUGGCCCGCGUUAGAUUAGGUAGUUGGUGGGGUAAUGGCCUACCAAGCCUACGAUCUAUAGCUGGUUUUAGAGGAUGAUCAGCAACACUGGGACUGAGACACGGCCCAGACUCCUACGGGAGGCAGCAGUGGGGAAUCUUGGACAAUGGGGGCAACCCUGAUCCAGCCAUGCCGCGUGAGUGAUGAAGGCCUUAGGGUCGUAAAGCUCUUUCGCCUGUGAAGAUAAUGACGGUAGCAGGUAAAGAAACCCCGGCUAACUCCGUGCCAGCAGCCGCGGUAAUACGGAGGGGGUUAGCGUUGUUCGGAAUUACUGGGCGUAAAGCGCACGUAGGCGGACUGGAAA